GAGCCCGUAGCUCAGCGGUAGAGCAUUCGCCUUUUAAGCGAGGGGUCCUGGGUUCGAAUCCCAGCGGGCUCACCA
rnacentral:tRNA from 3 species